rnacentral:tRNA from 1 species
GCCGGGGUGGCCGAGGGGUUAGGCGGCGGGCUGCAGACCCGCCGAGAUGGGUUCGAAUCCCAUCCCCGGCUCCA